rfam:Camelus ferus unplaced genomic scaffold scaffold932, whole genome shotgun sequence.
GAUGGUACAGCUUAGUGGUAGAGCAUAUGCUUAGCAUGUAAGAGGUCCUGGUUUCAAUCCCCAGUACCUCCA